rnacentral:rRNA from 1 species
ACGAACGCUGGCGGCGUGCCUAAUACAUGCAAGUUGAGCGCUGAAGGUUGGUACUUGUACCAACUGGAUGAGCAGCGAACGGGUGAGUAACGCGUGGGGAAUCUGCCUUUGAGCGGGGGACAACAUUUGGAAACGAAUGCUAAUACCGCAUAAAAACUUUAAACACAAGUUUUAAGUUUGAAAGAUGCAAUUGCAUCACUCAAAGAUGAUCCCGCGUUGUAUUAGCUAGUUGGUGAGGUAAGGGCUCACCAAGGCGAUGAUACAUAGCCGACCUGAGAGGGUGAUCGGCCACAUUGGGACUGAGACACGGCUCAAACUCCUACGGGAGGCAGCAGUAGGGAAUCUUCGGCAAUGGACGAAAGUCUGACCGAGCAACGCCGCGUGAGUGAAGAAGGUUUUCGGAUCGUAAAACUCUGUUGGUAGAGAAGAACGUUGGUGAGAGUGGAAAGCUCAUCAAGUGACGGUAACUACCCAGAAAGGGACGGCUAACUACGUG